UAAAGCAGCAUCACAACAGGUAGCUGUACAGCCCAGCAGACUGGUGAUGCUCUGAAUGCAGGCCGUUCAACUACCCAAAACUUGCAGGUGUGAUAUUGUGUGACUUACAAAUAGUGAAACUGAAAAGUUGGUGCAGCUUGCAGAUGGAGUGGAAGAACACGUACCUGCAGUGGGAGAAUGCAGCCAGCAGAAAAAUUCUCAGCUGUGGUGUUAAUAGAUGAGCUGCAUCAGACAUCCAAGAAAGAGAUCACACGUUUAGAAAUCAGCGGAGGAGAGACUGAGUCUGGAGUCCUGGUGACAUUCAGAAUCCUAAAAGCAGAGCUGCUUGCAAAACAAAUAGAAGAAACUGCCUUCGUUGGGCUUCCCUCCUCACCCUUCAAUGAGAACCUCUGAAGUUGUACCAGGCAGCCCCAUUGCUUAUGCAGCAGUGCUCUGGCUGUGAGUUCCAGUAAUCUGAAUACCCAGGUCAGCUCUGAAUUUGGCUCAUUAUGUUGGUCACCUGAUGGCACUGACAGCAAUGUGGAGUCAUGAGAGUGACAUCUGUGAAACAAGGCACUGAAAGCACUGAAAGUCAUCACUGACACCUGUCCUUGCAGUCUCAGCCCCCACACACCAAGCACUGCAGACUGGAUGUGUCCAGCACAACCAUAAUUGAACUCCAUCUGAGCAGCUGUGUGCUCACAAGGGUUGUGGAGGUAGGAGUAUCUGCUGGGGCUGCUUUGCACCAAGGUCCUCCUGGCCAGAGUGCUGUGAGUUCCAGUGUGUCAAGUAGUCAAGAUGGAGAAGCAGUGUGAAAGAUGCACUAUGUGAGAGCUGUUAUAAACCGAAGUGGUGCUAUAUGUAUUUUUUACUUCGUCCCAAGAAGCAUACAGUCAUCUUUUGGUCUAUUUUGGUUCCUGAGGAUGUGAAUAGAAAUAUGACGCAGGGUAACUAAUUAAGACUAGUUGCAGAAUGAUUAAACUAAGCAGUAUUUUCUUUGGAAGAAUCAUGAGCAUUUCAUGCCUUAGAUAAGUGAUUUCCAUAUGCUUUCUCUUGGCCAGGAAAUGCAAGUUGCUUGCUACAUCCCUGCUGGCUUUGGUCGCUGAAUUCUUGUUGUUAGAGAUAAUGAAAACUCUCAUAUCCCAUUCUCUCCUAUAGACAUUCUGUUCAGGGGGAGUCUGAGCAUUUCCUCCCAUCAGCAGUAAUGAUAAUGGGUCUCAAUGAGCAG